GCUAGAAUGAAUGGUUGGACAAGAAAUAAUCUGUCUUAAAUGAAUAUAUUGAAUUUAACUUUUAAGUGAAAAGGCUUAAAUAAUCUGAAGGGACGAUAAGACCCUAUAAAACUUUAUAUUUGUAAGGUAGUAGUUAGUUUUAUUUAAAAUAUUAAUUAGAAUAUUUGGUUGGGGUGACAAGGAUAAAAUAUAAAAUAACUGUCUUUUUUUUUUUACAGUAAUGUUUGGUUUAAUGAUUCUAAAAGGGAUUAAAAGAUUAAGUUACUUCAGGGAUAACAGCGUAAUUUUCUUUAAGAGUUCUUAUCGACAGGAAAGUUUGCGACCUCGAUGUUGAAUUAAAAGUUCUUUAUAGAGUAGAGACUAUAA
rnacentral:rRNA from 1 species